AAGGACUAUAUAUACUAAAAUCAUCAUCUUCAGUUUUGAAAGACUUAAGUAGAAAAUAA
rnacentral:misc_RNA from 1 species